rnacentral:rRNA from 1 species
UGGGGAAUAUUGCACAAUGGGCGCAAGCCUGAUGCAGCCAUGCCGCGUGUGUGAAGAAGGCCUUCGGGUUGUAAAGCACUUUCAGCGGGGAGGAAGGCGAUAAGGUUAAUAACCUCAUCGAUUGACGUUACCCGCAGAAGAAGCACCGGCUAACUCCGUGCCAGCAGCCGCGGUAAUACGGAGGGUGCAAGCGUUAAUCGGAAUUACUGGGCGUAAAGCGCACGCAGGCGGUCUGUCAAGUCGGAUGUGAAAUCCCCGGGCUCAACCUGGGAACUGCAUUCGAAAGUGGCAGGCUAGAGUCUUGUAGAGGGGGGUAGAAUUCCAGGUGUAGCGGUGAAAUGCGUAGAGAUCUGGAGGAAUACCGGUGGCGAAGGCGGCCCCCUGGACAAAGACUGACGCUCAGGUGCGAAAGCGUGGGGAGCAAACAGG